UACAGAGGGUGCGAGCGUUAAUCGGAAUUACUGGGCGUAAAGCGCGCGUAGGCGGCUUUGCAAGCCGGAUGUGAAAUCCCCGGGCUUAACCUGGGAACUGCAUUCGGGACUGCAUUGCUAGAGUAUGGGAGAGGGAAGUGGAAUUUCAGGUGUAGCGGUGAAAUGCGCAGAUAUCAGGAGGAACACCAAUAGCGAAGGCAGCUCGCUGGGACGGUACUGACGCUAAGGCGCGAAAGCGUGGGAGCGAACGAGG
rnacentral:rRNA from 1 species